rnacentral:rRNA from 1 species
AUGGCUCGGCCCGACGAGGUUUGUUUUUUGUGGUCACACAGACGGAUUGGAGAUGGCCAGAGGGCUGAGAUAUUGGCGAUGGAAGUAGCCGGGAUAAGAAAUCAUAUUAUAAUGGAUAACUUCAUCAGUAGAUACGGUUCGUACAAUAAGUGCGGGCUUAUCAGGAGAGAUAUUUACAAUCUUUGGUGCAGAGAAAAAAUGAAGCUCAUUGCAAAGGGUGAUGCAGAGACGACAGUUGGCAUUAUGAGAAGCAGGAAGGAGAAGGACCCUGAGUUUUUUUGA